GACGAACGCUGGCGGCGUGCUUAACACAUGCAAGUCGAACGGAAAGGCCCUGCUUUUGUGGGGUGCUCGAGUGGCGAACGGGUGAGUAACACGUGAGUAACCUGCCCUUGACUUUGGGAUAACUUCAGGAAACUGGGGCUAAUACCGGAUAGGAGCUCCUGCUGCAUGUUGGGGGUUGGAAAGUUUCGGCGGUUGGGUAUGGACUCGCGGCUUAUCAGCUUGUUGGUGGGGUAGUGGCUUACCAAGGCUGUGACGGGUAGCCGGCCUGAGAGGGUGACCGGCCACAUGGGGACUGAGAUACGGCCCAGACUCCUACGGGAGGCAGCAGUGGGGAAUAUUGCACAAUGGGCGGAAGCCUGAUGCAGCAACGCCGCGUGCGGGAUGACGGCCUUCGGGUUGUAAACCGCUUUCGCAUGUGACGAAGCGUGAGUGACGGUAAUGGGUAAAGAAGCACCGGCUAACUACGUG
rnacentral:rRNA from 1 species